rnacentral:rRNA from 1 species
GAAUAUUGCGCAAUGGACGAAAGUCUGACGCAGCCACGCCGCGUGCAGGAAGACACCCCUCUGGGGCGUAAACUGCUUUUGUACGGGAAGAACACCCUACUCGGUAGGGUCUGACGGUACCGUACGAAUAAGGACCGGCUAACUCCGUGCCAGCAGCCGCGGUAAUACGGAGGGUCCAAGCGUUGUCCGGAAUCACUGGGUGUAAAGGGUGCGCAGGCGGGCCUGUAAGUCAGGGGUGAAAGCCAUCGGCUCAGCCGAUGAAUUGCCCUUGAUACUGCAGGUCUUGAGUCUCGGAGAGGUUGGCGGAAUUCGUGGUGUAGCGGUGAAAUGCGUAGAUAUCACGAGGAACACCGGAAGUGUAGACGGCCAACUGGACGAGUACUGACGCUGAGGCACGAAAGCGUGGGGAGCGAACAGG